rnacentral:rRNA from 1 species
GAUGAACGCUGGCGGCGUGCUUAAUACAUGCAAGUCGAACGGAAAGGCCCUGCUCUUGCGGGGUGCUCGAGAGGCGAACGGGUGAGUAACACGCGAGUAACCUGCCCCUGACUUUGGGAUAACUUCAGGAAACUGGGGCUAAUACCGCAUAGGAGCUCUUGCUGCACGGUGGGGGAUGGAAAGAUUCGGUGGUUGGGGAUGGUCUGGCGGCGUAUCAGCUUGGUUGUAGGGUAGCGGGUUACCAAGGUUAGGACGGGUAGGCGGCCUGAGAGGGUGACCGGCCACAUGGGAACUGGGACAGGGGCAAGAGGACUACGGGAGGGAGCAGUAGGGAAGCUGCCGCAAUGGGCGAAAGCAGGACGGAGCAACGCCGCGUGAGUGAUGAAGGUCUUAGGAGCGUAAAAAUCUGUUAUUAGGGAAGAACAAAUGUGUAAGUAACUAUGCACGUCUUGACGGUACCUAAUCAGAAAGCCACGGCUAACUACGUG